rnacentral:rRNA from 1 species
GUGGGGAAUAUUGGACAAUGGGCGCAAGCCUGAUCCAGCCAUGCCGCGUGAGUGAUGAAGGCCCUAGGGUUGUAAAGCUCUUUCACCGGUGAAGAUAAUGACGGUAACCGGAGAAGAAGCCCCGGCUAACUUCGUGCCAGCAGCCGCGGUAAUACGAAGGGGGCUAGCGUUGUUCGGAAUUACUGGGCGUAAAGCGCACGUAGGCGGACAUUUAAGUCAGGGGUGAAAUCCCAGAGCUCAACUCUGGAACUGCCUUUGAUACUGGGUGUCUUGAGUAUGGAAGAGGUAAGUGGAAUUCCGAGUGUAGAGGUGAAAUUCGUAGAUAUUCGGAGGAACACCAGUGGCGAAGGCGGAUUACUGGACGAUAACUGACGCUGAGGCGCGAAAGCGUGGGGAGCAAACAGGAUUAGAAACCCCAGUAGUCC